rnacentral:rRNA from 1 species
UACGUAGGGGGCAAGCGUUGUCCGGAUUUAUUGGGCGUAAAGAGCGUGUAGGCGGCCAGGUAGGUCUGCUGUGAAAACUCGAGGCUCAACCUCGAGAUGUCGAUGGAAACCGUCUGGCUAGAGUCCGGAAGAGGAGUGUGGAAUUCCUGGUGUAGCGGUGAAAUGCGCAGAUAUCAGGAAGAACACCUAUGGCGAAGGCGGGUCUCUGGGCCGAUACUGACGCUGAGGAGCGAAAGCGUGGGGAGCGAACAGG